UGCGCAUAAGUUGCAGAGAGUUUACAAAUCUUGAGGCUUGUAAGUUAGUGUUGAAGUUUCUUAUGAUCUAUUUGUAGCAGGAAAACGCCUAAUUUUGUGAGGGUUCAAUCAUUUGCAAGUUCUUGGUGGACCUCAUGCACUUCAAGAUCUAGUUGACCAGUAUUAUUAUUAAUAUCUGUUCCAAAUUGUCUUUACUGUCAAUUGAAGGGUCCUACGUAAAAGAUGACUUCAUGUUUAUUGUUGCAGCAAUAGAUUUGGCGGCUC
rnacentral:misc_RNA from 1 species